GACACUGUCGCGCGCGCGAUUUUGCUCUGCGCGCGCGCGCAAACGCUGCCACGCGCGCGCAAACACCGUCUCACGCGCGAGAGGUGACAUGAAUUUCCUCACGCGCGCGAGCAGAAAUAUGAAUAUUUAAAUUAUCUCCUCCCACUGGUUAGCAUAACAAAUGAGGCGGAAGUUUGUUUAGUCCAUAGUAGUCAAACACAGAGAUCUCAGAUAUCAAUUGCUGAUAGACUAUCGUUGCUACGGUGACUGCAAACGACCACCUUUGAAACACAACUGAAACGCAACUCACGGCUGCGCUGACAAGGGCAUUCACCUCUUUAUUAGUAAACCCAUUUAAUUUUUUGGUGGAUGAAAACAUUGUGUCAAUAUGCUAUGUCUAUGUUCGCCUUAUUCACCCGGAACGUUCUAAAGACGUUGAGGGGUACACUUCAGGGGUACAUUCGGCAACGCACCAGCUGUCAUGCCGCCUCACUUUUGUGUGCCCAAAUGUUCGUCCUCAAAGAGAAAAAAAUCCUACCGUGGACAGACUUUCCACCGUUUCCCCAAAGAGCAGGCACUUCGCCGUGAAUGUAUAAAUCACAUCAAGAGGGAUCCUGGUCCAUAUUUCAAGGUAAGAUGCAAAAUUAUGUUCAAUCAUACGCAUUAGCUAGCACAAAUAAGCUAGCUCGCCAAACUUGUCAUGACUCAUGUAGCCUAAUGACGCGAAUGCCUCGGUGAAAUAAAAAAAUAUGAAUGUGUAAUUACACAACGCUACAUUUAUAUGAUAUUUCCAGAUCGCUAUUUUCAAGAUUAGGCUUUUAAUUGUGUGGUAAGCGAUCCGAUGGCCAUUGAUUUUGUGCUACCAGAACCAGUAGCAUAGGCCUACUUGAUUCCCUGAUUGUCGCUCCCAACGCAGGACGCUCCCCGGUCAGCUCGCUCCCACUAGCCAGACUAUCGAUCCCACCGCCAUAUAACGGAGCUAGUUAUCUUUUUGAUGUUAGUUUUUUGUUUCUAACCCUAAACCUAACCAUAACCCUAAACCUAACCCUAACCCUAAAUGGCUUGUAUGUGGCAGUGUAUGAUAAUACGUGAAAUAUAAUCGGGUGGGACUACACGUCCGGGAGUGAUAGAAACACCUGGGACUACACGUCCGGGAGCGAUCUCAGUUGGGAGUGUCCAUCUACCUCCCGGCCUACUUGUGCCAAAAUCAAGUUGUUUUGCUAACGAACUAAAAUGCAUACCCUGGUAUUUAUGGUUACAGAUCAACGCUGAGACCAAGGUUUGCUCUGAGCACUUUGAGAAGCAGUGUUUUGUAAAGACCUCCCGUGGUAUCACAAAGCUUAUAAGGAUGCCGUGCCACUUUGUUCGCCUGGACUUCAGAGAGGCCAAAGAGGAGAAUCAUCAUUCGCAGACCGAGAGAUGAUGACCCAUUCCUGAAGUUGGACGCCAGAAUGCAGGAAGGUGCUGUUUAAGAGCCUAGGCGGUGGAAGAAGCACUUGCAGGUAUGCUACCGACCAGGCUCCUCAACAUCAAUCCGAGACGGAAGAUGAACCGGGAUGAAGCAGUUAGAUUGAGACAAGGCGGCCGGAAACUUUGAUGACCUCAAUGACACUGGCUAGGUGAAGGACAUCAAGAAAAUGGCAUCCGGUCACCAGACAUCAGCUCAUAAGCCACAACGUCAUCAACCAUUUUGCGCCAAAAAUGAAGCCGUUCACAUACCAUGGCAUCCUAAGCAGGCAGCACCACACUACUGUGCAACAGUGAGAGAGAGCGGGCAAGGACAAGUAAAACGGACCUACACUACAGCAAGACUUUGACACUUCUCCGCGUGAGAGGCAGCCAUCGCCCCCACCGUUGAGCAGUGUGUACCCAGUACCCCCAAAAGAGGAGAUGAUCCGACGCCAUCACAGCCGAUUUCCAAAAUUGUACACCAAACUCUGUAUGGGCGUGUGUGUGUGUGUGUGUGUGUGAGAGAGAGAGAUAUUGUAAAACUUUUCAGUCCUUCUUCUAUACUAUACAGUGUAUAAAUAUACAUGUGAAAACCUAAAUAUGAAUUAAAAACCAUUACUGAGGUUAAGAAAUGCAUUAUAACAAAUACAUCUGAUUCAGGUGUACUGUACAUUGAAAUGUCUUUAUUUGCCACAAAUACAUCACAUCCUGGAAACCUGUACAAUGUGUGGAUUCAAAGGUCUGACAGAUCUUUGUGACGGCACAGGAUUGCAGUGGAACCCAAACAUAGCCUAGGAACUCCCACAUAGCGUAGGAACUCCCACGCCAUCUCACCAACUGCCGAUAUGCAGUAUGCCUGAAUUUCCUGUACAGCAAAGAAAUGUAGAGAUUGUGCCUUCAUCGAGAAUAGGUCAUUUGGAAUCACAACAAUUAUUCAAUUUACUUUGUGCGUGUGGUGUAGCUAUUGCUGUUAUUAUUAUGUUACUACUAGUGACCCAUUUUUAGUUGAGCUUAAUAGUCUACAUGCCAUCUCUGCACUUGUGUUACCACUAUUGGGAUUGGCAGCUCCCUAAAUGAAAAUGAGAAAAACUUGCCCGGAUGAAAUGUUAUGAACUGUGUGCGUUGUGCUGCUUGCUGAAGUAACAUGACACCCACAUCACCUUCCAGAAAUAAAGUGUAUACAGGCUACCUAACCAGAGUCCUAGAGACCUGUUGCUGCUGUGUGAUGAAAUCCAGGCAAAGACCCACCUGCUUUGGCAAUUGCUGCAACAUGUAAAAAAGGUAGACAGAUUAGGCCCCUGUAGAUAUGGCAUGUGUAGAUGGAUUCACUUAAUUCUUUAACCACUUGAAUGGCUUGGGUCAGACAAGCUGGGCUGCACACUGACCUCUUCCAUGUUGCCCAUGUGGUUUCGUUGGCUGUGUGUGACCACCUCCGUACAGGGGCAGAUUUAUUUAUUUAUUUAUUAUUAUUAUUAUUUAUUUAUUUAUUAAAAUGUCUGCACCUUUUUAUUAAAUGUAUUGCAUUGCACUGGUAUCACAUUGCAUUAAAUGUACUAGCCAAGUGACACAAACAGAGCAGGUAAAUACAGUCUUGAUCUGUACCAUAUAUGUCACUUCUUAAAGAUUCAAUUAUUCAACUCUAUAUUCGAAGAGGCCGGUAUUGCGCUACCAUUUUCCAUGAACCAGUCAACUUCUGGGAGUCAUUGCAGUACUUUGAGAAAGUGAUCUUACUUUCUAGCCUAAUAUUGUGCUUGU